rnacentral:rRNA from 1 species
AGCGCGUGAAACUUUUCAGAUCUCUUCGGAGUGACGAAUUGUGGAUCGAGCGGCGGAUGGGUGAGUAACACGUGGGCAACCUGCCUGUAAGAUCGGGAUAACUUGCGGAAACGUGAGCUAAUACCGGAUAAAGCAACGCAUCUCCUGAUGUGUUGAUGAAAGACGGCUAUGCUGUCACUUACAGAUGGGCCCGCGGCGCAUUAGCUAGUUGGUGGGGUAAUGGCCUACCAAGGCGACGAUGCGUAGCCGACCUGAGAGGGUGAUCGGCCACACUGGGACUGAGACACGGCCCAGACUCCUACGGGAGGCAGCAGUAGGGAAUCUUCCGCAAUGGACGAAAGUCUGACGGAGCAACGCCGCGUGAGUGAUGAAGGUUUUCGGAUCGUAAAACUCUGUUGUCAGGGAAGAACAAGUUUGAGAGUAACUGCUCAGACCUUGACGGUACCUGACCAGAAAGCCACGGCUAACUACGUGCCAGCAGCCGCGGUAAUACGUAGGUGGCAAGCGUUGUCCGGAAUUAUUGGGCGUAAAGCGCUCGCAGGCGGUCUUUUAAGUCUGAUGUGAAAUCUUGCGGCUUAACCGUAAGCGGUCAUUGGAAACUGGAGGACUUGAGUACAGAAGAGGAGAGUGGAAUUCCACGUGUAGCGGUGAAAUGCGUA